rnacentral:snRNA from 1 species
AGCUUUGCGCAGUGACGAUGACGUAACCAAUGAGACUUAACUGAGGUGCGUUUAUUGCGGGUUGAAGAUUAGGAAAAUCCGUCUUUGCAAGAUGUUGGGGUUCGAUUAUCUGUCAGCUAUCCAGUGAUUUUUCUAUUUUCUUAGUGAU